UACGGAGGGGGCUAGCGUUGUUCGGAAUUACUGGGCGUAAAGCGCGCGUAGGCGGACCUGCAAGUCGGGGGGUGAAAGCCCGAGGCUCAACCUCGGAACUGCCUUCGAUCACUGCGGGUCUCGAGUCCGGGAGAGGUGAGUGGAAUUCCUAGUGUAGAGGUGAAAUUCGUAGAUAAUUAGGAAGAACACCAGUGGCGAAGGCGGCUCACUAGGCUCGGUACUGACGCUGAGGCGCGAA
rnacentral:rRNA from 1 species